UACAGAGGUCUCAAGCGUUGUUCGGGUUCAUUGGGCGUAAAGGGUGUGUAGGUGGCGCGCUAAGUCGGGUGUGAAAUUUCGGAGCUUAACUCCGAAACUGCAUUCGAUACUGGCGUGCUUGAGGACUGGAGAGGAGACUGGAAUUCAUGGUGUAGCAGUGAAAUGCGUAGAGAUCAUGAGGAAGACCAGUGGCGAAGGCGGGUCUCUGGACAGUUCCUGACGCUGAGGCGCGAAAGCGUGGGGAGCGAACAGG
rnacentral:rRNA from 1 species